rnacentral:rRNA from 1 species
AUUGAACGCUGGCGGAAUGCUUUACACAUGCAAGUCGAACGGCAGCACGGGUGCUUGCACCUGGUGGCGAGUGGCGAACGGGUGAGUAGUACAUCGGAACGUACCCAGUCGUGGGGGAUAACGUAGCGAAAGUUACGCUAAUACCGCAUACGUCCUGAGGGAGAAAGCGGGGGACCGUAAGGCCUCGCGCGAUUGGAGCGGCCGAUGGCGGAUUAGCUAGUUGGUGGGGUAAAGGCCUACCAAGGCGACGAUCCGUAGCGGGUCUGAGAGGACGGCCCGCCACACUGGAACUGAGACGCGGUCCAGACUCCUACGGGAGGCAGCAGUGGGGAAUUUUGGACAAUGGGCGAAAGCCUGAUCCAGCCAUUCCGCGUGAGUGAAGAAGGCCUUCGGGUUGUAAAGCUCUUUCGGCAGGGAAGAAACGGCUUGGGAUAAUACCCCGGGCUAAUGACGGUACCUGAAGAAGAAGCACCGGCUAACUACGUGCCAGCAGCCGCCGCGG